GACGAACGCUGGCGGCGUGCCUAAUACAUGCAAGUAGAACGCUGAAGGAGGAGCUUGCUUCUCUGGAUGAGUUGCGAACGGGUGAGUAACGCGUAGGUAACCUGCCUGGUAGCGGGGGAUAACUAUUGGAAACGAUAGCUAAUACCGCAUAAGAGUAGAUGUUGCAUGACAUUUGCUUAAAAGGUGCAAUUGCAUCACUACCAGAUGGACCUGCGUUGUAUUAGCUAGUUGGUGGGGUAACGGCUCACCAAGGCGACGAUACAUAGCCGACCUGAGAGGGUGAUCGGCCACACUGGGACUGAGACACGGCACAGACGCCUACGGGAGGCAGCAGUAGGGAAUCGUCGGCAAUGGACGGAAGGCUGACCGAGCAACGCCGCGUGAGUGAAGAAGGUUUUCGGAUCGUAAAGCUCUGUUGUAAGAGAAGAACGAGUGUGAGAGUGGAAAGUUCACACUGUGACGGUAUCUUACCAGAAAGGGACGGCUAACUACGUG
rnacentral:rRNA from 1 species